rnacentral:rRNA from 1 species
UUAAAUGAGAGUUUGAUCCUGGCUCAGGAUAAACGCUGGCGGCGUGCAUAACACAUGCAAGUCGAACGAUGAAACUUAGUUGAUUUCUUCGGAAUGAUUUUAAGUGGAUUAGUGGCGAACGGGUGAGUAACACGUGAGUAACCUGCCUUACACAAGGGGAUAGCCUUUGGAAACGAAGAAUAAUACCCUAUAAAGUCUAAUCAGCUCCUGCUGGAAAGACCAAAGAUUUAUCGGUGUAAGAUGGACUUGCGUCUGAUUAGCUAGUUGGUGAGAUAUGGGGAAUUUUGCACAAUGGGGGAAACCCUGAUGCAGCGACGCCGCGUGAUUUAGAAGGCCUUCGGGUUGUAAAAAUCUUUUUUACGGGAUGAAAAUGACAGUACCGUAAGAAUAAGGUCCGGCUAAAUACGUGCCAGCAGCCGCGGUAAUACGUAUGGACCGAGCGUUGUCCGGAAUCAUUGGGCGUAAAGGGUACGUAGGCGGCCUAGUAAGUUAGAAGUGAAAGAAUAUAGCUCAACUAUAUAAAGCUUUUAAAACUGUUAGGCUUGAGAGAUGAAAGGGAAAGUGGAAUUCCUAGUGUAGCGGUGAAAUGCGCAGAUAUUAGGAAGAAUACCGGUGGCGAAGGCGACUUUCUGGUCAUCAUCUGACGCUGAGGUACGAAAGCGUGGGUAGCAAACAGGAUUAGAUACCCUGGUAGUCCACGCUGUAAACGAUGAGUGUUAGGUUCUUGGAAUAAUCUGGGAGCCGCAGCUAACGCAUUAAACACUCCGCCUGGGGAGUACGCACGCAAGUGUGAAACUCAAAGGAAUUGACGGGGACCCGCACAAGCAGCGGAGCAUGUGAGUCUUGACAUAAUACGGAGGGAAUUAGAGAUAAUUUCUUACCACUUCGGUGGGCUGUAUUACAGGUGGUGCAUGGUUGUCGUCAGCUCGUGUCGUGAGAUGUUGGGUUAAGUCCCAUAACGAGCGCAACCCCUAUCGUUAGUUACCAUCAUUAAGUUGGGGACUCUAGCGAUACUGCCGGUGAUAAACCGGAGGAAGGUGGGGACGACGUCAAAUCAUCAUGCCCUUUAUGACUUGGGCUACACACGUGCUACAAUGGCAGAUACAGAGGGCAGCGAAAGAGUGAUCUGAAGCGAAACUCACAAAAUCUGUCCCAGUUCGGAUUGCACUCUGCAACUCGAGUGCAUGAAGUUGGAGUUGCUAGUAAUCGCGAAUCAGAAUGUCGCGGUGAAUGCGUUCCCGGGUCUUGUACACACCGCCCGUCACACCAUGGGAGUUGGCAAUACCCGAAGCCUGUGAGCGAACCAUUAGGACGCAGCAGUCGAAGGUAGGGUCAGUAACUGGGGUGAAGUCGUAACAAGGUAGCCGUAUCGGAAGGUGCGGCUGGAUCACCUCCUUU